AUCGCGGCCGCUCCGCUGCGCGGCAUCCCCGUGUUCCCCGCUCGGCAUCGCUGCGGCGGGGCUCGCCCCGACCCCUUUAACUUCAUUUUGUGGGUCUGGGAGUUUUAUGACCACACGUACCCUGACACCGUAACACAAGCUCCGUGCUGCACCGCGAGCAGGUAACAGAUCUAAGCGCGGGGACGGGGGUUUAUCUCCCGCUGAAUGGAACUACCGGGACUCCGAGUCAGUCUCCCGGUACAAAUGGCCAAAAGACACUCCAACAAGAGAAGGGACGGAGAGAUAAAAUAGGAAACAUGUUAAAACAGACAGAUAAACGCCCGAGAGGAUCGUUCCUCCUCUGCGAACGCACGCUUGUAUGUGCGCUCACAUGUGAGCCGGUCACCAAGCACGGCCGCGGGGACACAGACCUGGGCACAACUCUGCGAGGGAUUAAUUGCUCCUCACCUCCUCACAUACACUUUUUCAUGUUGCCACAUGCCCACCCACUCCUGCCGCAGAAAUAAUAGAUGUGGCUGAAGCCGCAGGUGUGGAGGUGAUUGGAAAGUUGUAAAAAGCACCUCGACUUGACAGUGUCCUGCCUGGAAACCUGGUGUGUUCAGACCCCACGGACGAAGAUAUUUUGCGGCUCAAUUUCAAAGACAAGGCUGCAGCGUUCCCAUUGAUCCUCACGGAGCAAAAAAAUAACCUUUACCCGAAACAGGGACCAGGAGGGACUAGGAAGACAGAAGGGGGAAAGGAAUCUUUCCCUGUUAAAAUGUGGGGAACUGUCUUAUGAUUUCCAAAUAACCCAGAGCCGAGGAGGUCACCUUUCGGGGAGGGUGGGAGAAGAUGGGGGUUCAAAAUACAGAAUAGUCACAGAUUGUUGCUGAUGUUGAGUUUCCUGAGGGGGGGAAAAAAAAACCCAGCAAAAACCCAAACCACAACCCAACACCAACCUUUCCUGUCUCGAAUCUGACAAAGUAAACAGGAUUAAUUCACCAUAUGAAAAAGCAUUAACGCCGUCCUAACAAAUGCAGAAAUCAUAAGAGAAAGCGGUUUUAACAGGACGCACAAUAUUACUAGUUUGAACGUAUGAUCGUAAAAAUGAAAAGCCAUUGAUAUAAGCUUAAAAGCCGCCGUAUAUGCUGAUUGCUCAAGCAUUAAUGAAGAAUGCCCCAGAUUAACUAUUUGCUCUUCGAGGGAUGCAGCGAUAUAACUACCUAUUAGCACCAUUAGAUGCUUUGCUAUUUAUUUGAAAACACCCCUACGAGUGGGUUGAGACAGAACAGAUGAAUGUAAAAAUGAACUGCAGCUAAUUUCGCUAAAUAAUCCUCGAAACCUGAGCGCCUCGCAAGGAAGGGGGAGAUUCUCCUCUGUCCUUCUCCGAGGCUAAUGACAAUAGAAAUGCUCUGGUUUAAAAGUGAGACUGUGUUGGUUUUCCAAAUAAGCAAACGCAUCCCUCCUGCCAUUUUACUGCAGAUGUAAAUUUAUUUUAAUGAGAGGGAGUGGAAGGAUUUAUUUUGCUAAAAUAGAGUAGAGGAUAGAGCCGAUGUAAAUCUUUAGGUUUCAAAAAGAGAGGAGGAAGGAGGGGGAAGCUGCUUUCCUGGCAGAAAGCUGCCUAACAGUCCUCUAAUUCUUUCUAGAUUAAAUCGCAAUAUGAAUACAGCAUCGAACAAAUACCGAGUUUCGCUCUGAACUCAGUGGAAAGCAGUUACGUCUAACAGAAUUCAAUGAAUUCCUCUUCUCCCUCAAUGUAGUAUGUGUGUGUUUUUCUCUUCCACCACACUGAAGUUCCAUGAAUAGGGAAAGUGGCUCCUAUUGUGUGCCUCUGAACUUCCAAGUCAAUGCAAUUUUUAACCACUGGCUUGUGGUACUUUGAAAAUCACCAGGGGCUGUCAGAGUUGGGUCCUCUGAAAAAUUUACAGUGCUAAAUCAGAGCAUAUGCUGUGAGAGAGGAAAAAAAAUUGCUUAAGAUUGGAGCAAGUACAGUAUCUGGCUGCCCCCUAGUGUAAGUCUCUUAUCUGCCUAAAAUUCAACUUUAAAAGAAAAGGAUCUCUUAAAGGGAAACGACUUUUGGCUCACGUAUGCAUACGAGAAUGAAACUUCUGUACAUUUUAAUCUGAUUAAUUCCUAAGGAUUUAAAAUUAAUUGGCUUGGGCACUCCUAGACCGGACUAUAAGAUUUCUGCAUCAGGGUUUCUGCGAGAACUGUACCGAAUAGGAACCGUGCCUCUCUUGCUGUUGUCAGAGCAAAACACUUUUGCUGCUUAAAGUCAGAUCUACGUCUUUUGCAAUAAUAUUUAAAAAAAAAAAAGGAUAAAUAAUUGCCUUAAAGCCUCAGCCGAUCUACCAACCGCACCUUCGGAUGUCAGAAGGCAGAAAUAUGUGAGCUGCUGAGAGAGGUGGGUACUUUUUGGUAAGUAUGUUUAGAUAUGAUCUUCAGAUACAUUUAUUGUACUUUCAAAUUCUUGGGAUACUAAUUGAGCUAGCAAACAAUAUCCCAGCUGAAUGUCUCAGCUUCUUCCCUAUUUAACAAGCUUUAAUACAGAAGUAUAUUGUAGCCAUCCUUCUACUAAACAAUAUAGCUGAGGAGUCAGCAAAAAAUGAAAAAAACAUGUUAAAACCAAAUUAUAAUUGCUGCCUUAUAUCUGACUCUUCUGCCUUUCUGCAGUCCUAAUGAACUCUUUAAAGUUUUAUUUAUUUAUUUUUUUUAUUUCUGAGUGACAGAUCAAAAAUAAUUAGCAGAAUCAGAAGCAGCCGGGAAGCUUGAAAUAAUGUGUCUAAAUAUUUCAUAUUGCUACUUAUAAUACCAACCCAUCAGCUGUAAAAAAGAACCGUUCCCUGUUUAUUCCGUGGUAGUUUAUAAAUACAGAAAGAUAGAUUCUUUUUUUUCCCAGGGCCUGCUUCAGCAAUGCCAUAAAUAGAGAUUGAGCUAUCAGGAAAAAAACCAAACCAGAAUAAAAUAAAAACAAAAGCCUGUACAGAUAUAGAGACAGACAGAUAAAUGUAUAACUGCAUCUGAACGGUGUUACAUAGCACGUUAGGAGAUGGGCAAAAAAAAUUAAAUCGAUCGCAUAUUUAUAACCUCAUAAUUAAAAUACAGUCUUAUCUCUCUCCCCUGAAAGGUUGCAGCUUUCUUGGAAGUAUUUUGAGUGCAUAUUUUAAACUCCAUGUCCCGAACGGAAUUAAGAUGAGCUGUUUUGCCCAAGAGUGAAACCCUUGUUUACAAUUUAAGGUUUAAGUUUCAGCUGCCUACUCAUCGC